AUUGAACGCUGGCGGCAUGCCUUACACAUGCAAGUCGAACGGCAGCACGGGAGCAAUCCUGGUGGCGAGUGGCGAACGGGUGAGUAAUAUAUCGGAACGUGCCCAGUCGUGGGGAUAACGUAGCGAAAGCUACGCUAAUACCGCAUACGAUCUAAGGAUGAAAGCGGGGGAUCGCAAGACCUCGCGCGAUUGGAGCGGCCGAUAUCAGAUUAGCUAGUUGGUGAGGUAAAGGCUCACCAAGGCGACGAUCCGUAACUGGUCUGAGAGGAUGAUCAGUCACACUGGAACUGAGACACGGUCCAGACUCCUACGGGAGG
rnacentral:rRNA from 1 species